AUUGAACGCUGGCGGCAUGCUUUACACAUGCAAGUCGAACGGCAGCGGGGUAGUGCUUGCACUACUGCCGGCGAGUGGCGAACGGGUGAGUAAUAUAUCGGAACGUACCAAGUAAUGGGGGAUAACCAAUCGAAAGAUUGGCUAAUACCGCAUACGUCCUGAGGGAGAAAGCGGGGGAUCGCAAGACCUCGCGUUAUUCGAGCGGCCGAUAACUGAUUAGCUAGUUGGUGGGGUAAAGGCCUACCAAGGCGACGAUCAGUAGCGGGUCUGAGAGGACGAUCCGCCACACUGGGACUGAGACACGGCCCAGACUCCUACGGGAGGCAGCAGUGGGGAAUUUUGGACAAUGGGGGCAACCCUGAUCCAGCCAUGCCGCGUGUAUGAAGAAGGCCUUCGGGCUGUAAAGUACUUUUGUUAGGGAAGAAAAGGGAAGUGCUAAUACCACUUUUUGCUGACGGUACCUAAAGAAUAAGCACCGGCUAACUACGUG
rnacentral:rRNA from 1 species